GUCCUCUUGAUUAUAAAUUAUUUGAGGUCUGGCCUGCUCACUGAUAAAUUAAAGAGCCGCGGUAUUUUGACCGUGCAAAGGUAGCAUAAUCAUUAGUCUCUUAAUUAGGGGCUGGAAUGAAUGGUUUGACGAAAAAUCGACUGUCUCUUAUUAAAUUUUAAAAUUUAACUUUUAAGUUAAAAGGCUUAAAUUUAUCUUUAGGACGAGAAGACCCUAUAGAUCUUAACAUUUUACUUUUAGAUAGUUUUUAGUAAAUUUUUCUAUAUAGAAUGUCGAUGUUUUGUUGGGGUGACAUGAAGAAUAAAUAAACUCUUCAUUUUAAAAUCAUUGAUUUAUGUUUAAAUAAAUGAUCCAUAAUUUAUGAUUAUAAGAUUAAGUUACCUUAGGGAUAACAGCGUAAUUGUUUUUGAGAGCUCAUAUCGAUAAAGCAGAUUGCGACCUCGAUGUUGGAUUAAGAAAAAUAUUGGGUGCAGUAAUUCAAUAAUUUGGUCUGUUCGACCAUUAAAUUCUU
rnacentral:rRNA from 2 species